rnacentral:rRNA from 1 species
UAACGUUCCCGGGUCUUGUACACACCGCCCGUCACACCAUGGGAGCGGGUUUUACCAGAAGUAGGUAGCUUAACCGCAAGGGGGCGCUUACCACGGUAGGAAUUCGUGACUGGGGUG